rnacentral:rRNA from 1 species
GGGCGCACGCGCGCUACACUGACGGAGCCAGCGAGUUAACCUUAGCCGAGAGGUUUGGGAAAUCUUGUGAAACUCCGUCGUGCUGGGGAUAGAGCAUUGUAAUUUUUGCUCUUCAACGAGGAAUUCCUAGUAAGCGCAAGUCAUCAGCUUGCGUUGAUUACGUCCC